AGGGUUCGAUUCUGGCUCAGGAUGAACGCUGGCGGCGUGCCUAACACAUGCAAGUCGAGCGAGAAACCUUUCAAUGAAGCUUCGGUAGAUUUGAGAGGCGGAAAGCGGCGGACGGGUGAGUAACGCGUAGGCAACCUGCCCCUUGCAGAGGGAUAGCCUCGGGAAACCGGGAUUAAAACCUCAUAAAGCCUUUGAAGCACAUGCUUUGAAGGUCAAAGAUUUAUCGGCAAGGGAUGGGCCUGCGUCUGAUUAGCUAGUAGGUGGGGUAACGGCCUACCUAGGCGACGAUCAGUAGCCGACCUGAGAGGGUGAUCGGCCACAUUGGAACUGAGACACGGUCCAA
rnacentral:rRNA from 1 species